rnacentral:lncRNA from 1 species
AAGUGUGUGAUAAGUGGCAAAGUCGGAAAUUUUAUUAAGGUGGAUCAGGGAAGAAAAAAGGCUAAUAAGUGCAAGAGGUGCAACGGCAUAUACAGAGAGAUGGGAUAGAAAGAGGAAUGUCUGUCUAAUUGGUAAGUAUGUUGAUUCAAAAAGUAGAGAUUUAUAAAGAUUAAGAAAAACAUUGGCUUUAGAAGAAGAAGAAAAAAUCUAAUAUCAUGAACGGAUCCAACCAUAUGCAUGAAUGGUCCCCAAAAACUCAUCUAUCUAGGUCAUAUAAUUGACAGAUUCGUCCCGCAAAAAGAUGCUUAUAAAGUCAAAGAAAUUGACC